rnacentral:rRNA from 1 species
UGGAGUAAGUAUAAGGUAGGGANAGAAGUGAAGGAUGAAGAUGUGAUUGGUGUAAUGUGGUUUUAUAUAGGAGAAAGAGGCUUUGNGAGGUAAGUUGACGGUANUAUAUGAAUAAGCACCGGGUAAGUNGGUGCCAGUAGCUGCUGGUAAUACGGAGGGUGCAAGCGUUGUCAGGAUUUAUUGGGUUUAAAGGGUGCGUAGGCGGUUUAUUAAGUCAGUGGUGAAAGACGGUCGCUCAACGAUUGCAGUGCCAUUGAUACUGGUAGACUUGAGUGAGAUUGAGGUAGAUGGAAUGGAUAGUGUAGCGGUGAAAUGCAUAGAUAUUAUCCAGAACACCAAUUGCGAAGGCAAGUUACUAAGUUUCAACUGACGCUGAUGCAAGAAAUUUUGGGUAUCAAACAGUGAUUAGAUAUUUUGGUAGUGCACAGCUUCCACCAUUUAUNACCUCCGNGCCGGCUGCCGGGACACCGGAAUAGAAGGGGUGGAAGGGGAUCCAAACUCAAAGGAAAUGACGGGGUGCAGCGGUAGGG